rnacentral:rRNA from 1 species
UAGGACGAACGCUGGCGGCGUGCCUAACACAUGCAAGUCGAGCGGGGACAUGCGACGGAGAUGAAGUUUCGGAUGGAAUUGAAGAUGUAUGUUCUAGCGGCGGACGGGUGAGUAACGCGUGAGCAACCUGUCCUUCACAGGGGGAUAACACAGCGAAAGUUGUACUAAUACCGCAUAAGACCACAGCAGGACAUCCUGCAGGGGUCAAAGGAGCAAUCCGGUGAAGGGUGGGCUCGCGUCCGAUUAGAUAGUUGGUGAGGUAACGGCCCACCAAGUCAACGAUCGGUAGCCGACCUGAGAGGGUGAUCGGCCACAUUGGGACUGAGACACGGCCCAAACUCCUACGGGAGGCAGCAGUGGGGAAUAUUGGGCAAUGGGGGGAACCCUGAACCCCCAGCAACGCCGCGUGAGGGAAGAAGGUUUUCGGAUCGUAAACCUCUGUCCUAUGUGAAGAGUAAGAGACGGUAGCAUAGGAGGAAGCCCCGGCUAACUACGUGCCAGCAGCCGC